UGCUUUGCAAUGACUUCACAGCAAGGUUACCACGAAGCAGAUGGGCUGUGAAGGAGACAAGCCCCCUUGUCUAAACACAAAUAGAAUUGAUAAUUAAUUAGCUGAAGCAGCAGGGGAAAUUAUGAAAAUGUGUGAAAGCACGGUGAGUGUUGCAGUCAGAAGAAUAUUUUCUUCUCAGCCUCUCAUGAAAGAGGAGCUGGAGACCCAGGAAGCUUACAACGGCUGCAAGCAGUGUUUGUGCUAACCACAGCAAGGCAAGGAGGGUACAAUGAAAUAACUCCACACUUCAAACGCCCUGUGAGUUGUUCCUACCACAUCUCAGAUCCUGGCUUCUUUCCACCACUUACUUACCCAGCCCUCCCUGAUGGAGCUUCACAGAUGGCUCACCACCCACAUGCUCUUCCGUACGUGAAGACAGAGGAGAGAGAUUUUGUGACUCUUGCAGAGGUGGAGAGGAGGAAAGAACCAA